rnacentral:ncRNA from 2 species
UGAAAACGUUGGAGGUACGGCCAAACGGCCGUUGAGAAAUACUCCCAUUAGCGGAUCAGGUUAAUACCUGCGGCGCGAAACGUUAAUUUCUAUAU